UCUAGCCAUGGGCAGGUUGAAGGUUGGGUAACACUAACUGGAGGACCGAACCGACUAAUGUUGAAAAAUUAGCGGAUGACCUGUGGCUGGGGGUGAAAGGCCAAUCAAACCGGGAGAUAGCUGGUUCUCCCCGAAAGCUAUUUAGGUAGCGCCUCGUGAAUUCAUCUCCGGGGGUAGAGCACUGUUUCGGCUAGGGGGCCAUCCCGGCUUACCAACCCGAUGCAAACUGCGAAUACCGGAGAAUGUUAUCACGGGAGACACACGGCGGGUGCUAACGUCCGUCGUGAAGAGGGAAACAACCCAGACCGCCAGCUAAGGUCCCAAAGUCAUGGUUAAGUGGGAAACGAUGUGGGAAGGCCCAGACAGCCAGGAUGUUGGCUUAGAAGCAGCCAUCAUUUAAAGAAAGCGUAAUAGCUCACUGGUCGAGUCGGCCUGCGCGGAAGAUGUAACGGGGCUAAACCAUGCA
rnacentral:rRNA from 1 species